UACGUAGGGUGCGAGCGUUAAUCGGAAUUACUGGGCGUAAAGGGCUCGUAGACGGCCAACUAAGUCAGACGUGAAAUCCCUCGGCUUAACCGGGGAACUGCAUCUGAUACUGGAUGGCUUGAGUUCGGGAGAGGGAUGCGGAAUUCCAGGUGUAGCGGUGAAAUGCGUAGAUAUCUGGAGGAACACCGGUGGCGAAGGCGGCAUCCUGGACCGGCACUGACGCUGAGGAGCGAAAGCCAGGGGAGCAAACGGG
rnacentral:rRNA from 1 species